rnacentral:rRNA from 1 species
UACACACCGCCCGUCACAUCACGAAAGUAGGUUGUACUAGAAGUAGGAGGGCUAACCCGCAAGGGAGGCAUCUUACCACGGUAUGAUUUAUGAUUGGGGUG